GACGAACGCUGGCGGCGUGGAUUAGGCAUGCAAGUCGCGCGACGGUAGGGCUUCGGCUCUAUACGGAGCGGCGAACGGGUGAGUAACACGUGAACAACCUGUCCCUACAUUCCGGAUAAUUGACCGAAAGGUCUUGUAAUACGGGGGAGGGUCCUGGUGGGGCAUCUCAUUAGGAAGGAACGAGCAAUCGGUGCAGGGGAGGGGUUCGCGGAUUAUCAGCUUGUUGGUGAGGUAACGGCUCACCAAGGCGACGACGACUAGCUGGUCUGAGAGGAUGGUCAGCCACAUUGGAACUGAGACACUGUCCAGACUCCUACGGGAGGCUGCAGUCGAGAAUCUUGGGCAAUGCAACGAAAGUGUGACCCAGCGACGCCGCGUGGAGGACGAAGGCCCUUGGGUCGUAAACUCCUUUACGAGAGAAGAAUGAGCCG
rnacentral:rRNA from 1 species